CGGCGGACGGGUGAGUAACACGUGGAUAACCUACCUAUAAGACUGGGAUAACUUCGGGAAACCGGAGCUAAUACCGGAUAAUAUUUUGAACCGCAUGGUUCAAUAGUGAAAGACGGUUUUGCUGUCACUUAUAGAUGGAUCCGCGCCGCAUUAGCUAGUUGGUAAGGUAACAGCUUACCAAGGCAACGAUGCGUAGCCGACCUGAGAGGGUGAUCGGCCACACUGGAACUGAGACACGGUCCAG
rnacentral:rRNA from 1 species